rnacentral:lncRNA from 1 species
UCAGUUAACAUGGACUUUUUAUGUUGUUAAUCAUAUGUAUUUCUAAGCAUCUGUCUUAGUGAUCAAUCUUAAACCAGACUGCCCAGACCUGACAUGAAGGCAGCCUUCAAGAAAUAUUCAUUCUGAUAUUCCUACACUGUAUAAACAAGCGAUCAGCUUGAACCAACUGGAGCCAACAGUAGCUGUAUAAAAAUGAGUAUUGAUAACAUCAAAAUAGAGGGCUGCUGUGACAUGGUUAAAGGACAUCUAGCCACAGCUGAUCCAAGGCUUUUAAGGAGCAUUGAUGAGCUGCAAAGGAUCACCUCUCAGAGAUGCUCAAGGAUAGGAAAUGCAUCAUUAAGAGUGGCCAAAAGAAGGUGAGAGGAGCCAUGUAUAGAUGAAACUACUUUAUGGCAAGUCCACCCACCUGGAGACCCUUGGUCAUGUCAAUGGUACCAUAUAGCAACUUGAAUUAGAGAUGGCUGGAAGAUCUUGUGUGAAUAAUAAAAACAUGAACCUGUUACUUGAAGGACUCA